UAUGCGAUACUUAUGCGAUACUUGGUGUGAAUUGCAGAAUUCCGUGAAUCAUCGAAUCUUUGAACGCACAUUGCGCCCCCUGGCAUUCCGGGGGGCAUGCCUGUCCGAGCGUCAUUUCUGCCCUCAAGCACGGCUUGUGUGUUGGGUGUGGUCCCCCCGGGGACCUGCCCGAAAGGCAGCGGCGACGCCCGUCUGGUCCUCGAGCGUAUGGGGCUCUGUCACUCGCUCGGGAAGGACCUGCGGGGGUUGGUCACCACCAUGUUUUACCACGGUUGACCUCGGAUCAGGUAGGAGUUACCCGCUGAACUUAAGCAUAUCAAUAAGCGGAGGAAAGCGGAGGA
rnacentral:rRNA from 1 species